GACGAACGCUGGCGGCGUGCUUAACACAUGCAAGUCGAACGGAAAGGCCCUGCUUUUGUGGGGUGCUCGAGUGGCGAACGGGUGAGUAACACGUGAGUAACCUGCCCUUGACUUUGGGAUAACUUCAGGAAACUGGGGCUAAUACCGGAUAGGAGCUCCUGCUGCAUGGUGGGGGUUGGAAAGUUUCGGCGGUUGGGGAUGGACUCGCGGCUUAUCAGCUUGUUGGUGGGAUAGUGGCUUACCAAGGCUUUGACGGGUAGCCGGCCUGAGAGGGUGACCGGCCACAUUGGGACUGAGAUACGGCCCAGACUCCUACGGGAGGCAGCAGUGGGGAAUAUUGCACAAUGGGCGGAAGCCUGAUGCAGCAACGCCGCGUGCGGGAUGACGGCCUUCGGGUUGUAAACCGCCUUCGCCUGUGACGAAGCGUGAGUGACGGUAAUGGGUAAAGAAGCACCGGCUAACUACGUG
rnacentral:rRNA from 1 species